GCCAGCAUGGCAUAGUGGUUUGUGUGUUGGACUAUGACACUGGGAGAUCAGGGUUCGAAUCCCUGCUUCGCCA